UGGAGAUCCCUGCAUGCCUGAGGUCUUCUAAAGCUCCUGUCCUUGCAGUUCUCAGGACUCGACUAGCAGUUUUCAAAUGAAGCGAAAGGCUUAAUGUGAGGUGAAUCCCGAGACCACAAACAGUCUGGACUUCAAACAGUGAGAAAAUUGGCGCCGAAUGAUUCCGCACACAAAGCAGAAAACUUUCAUUUCCUGCAGGCAGGAUGGAAUUGACUGUUAUAUUAAGACUUCAGAAGGAGCACUGCCCCGGAGUAAUUUCACUGCUGUCAGGCAAUGUUGACAUCUAGAUUAACCUCUGUGCAGUGAAUUUUACAGCAAAGCCUCAUUGUAAUGCAUGUGGGGUAUCUCCUGUAAAUCCCAGCUGAAGCCCACAGUGUCCCACCCUUCUGCACACGAGAAAGGGUUGGGGAGCAGCCGCUAUCAUUUUUGACCCCAGCAGAGCGUGACUCUAACCUCAUCCCGGCCACUUCUGCUGAAACUGAUUUCCUACCCUGCCACAGUGACAGUAGCUCCAGACAGUAUUUUUUUUCUUUAAUUCCCUAAAGAGGCUUACAUCAUGAAGCUGACUUUUUUUUUUUUGUCAGUGACAAACAGUUCCCUUCACACAUCCACCCAACAACACAGAUCUAAUUAAAAAGCACUAGUUAACCAGUAGCAAUUAGGUGCUCGCACUGAUUAACUCCAAAGCAUGCAAUCCCCACAAUGCAGCGAUCAGACCCGAAUGGCAGAUAAACUCCUAGCUGUUGAGAGACAAUGGCAUCCAACCCAACUCAACAGCCCACAGGUGCACUAUUAGCUCUGUCUACCAAACCAGAACUGCAUGAAUUAAAGAAGUGCACCAUGCGGGUCAGAGGACAUAACAAAAGAAAUCUCCUGACUCCUGAACUCAGUGCUCAUGCUGUUAAGCUAGACGUUUAGGCCAGAACCAAGCUCUUUUGUCCUUUGCUAGAAGAGCAGGCCAAGCAGCGAGAAUUCCCAGGCAGGAGCACCACUGCUUCUUCACUCUUUUGCAGACAAUCCUUUUGGUGGUAGAUACAAGAUACGCCUCUGAGAUCUACUUCUUCAGGAAGAAAAACAAAACACUAAAAUCUAAAAAACUGGAAGAGGAAGGGAGUUAUUUGUCUGCUACUGCCACACUUUCUCCUUCAUACCCUCAUUUUCAAACUCAGACACUGGUCUGCAGUCUUAUGCAGAAAGUUCUAGGCAAGAGACAGGCAAUCAGGCACAGAAUAGGUUAGUUGCUAACCCUAAGGGCAAAAUCUCACCGGUAGUUCUAGAAACGUCGGAGCCCUCCCAUCCUUGCACCAAUAGUUUUUUUGAUACGUUUGUCUAAGUCUUUGGAUAGCCUAUGAAGAGGUGACAUACCUGUAUUUCACCUCAUCUCCAAAUGGAGUUGUGUGGCCCUGGCAUUUCUGAAAUCAGUCCCAUCAGGAAGAUUUCUUCAAACUAACAUUUACCAUUCCCAAUCAGAAUACGGCUGAAAAGGCUAUCCAAGGUUAUAGAGAAGGUCAAGCUGUUGCUUUGGACCGAGGAAGGAAUUUGAUGGACCAAUUUAACCGCCACAGCACAUCAAAACCUGGUGGCUUCAUUUAAAAAGUAAUCAGUAUUGUAUUUCGCUUUAGACAUCCGUGCAUUAGUGUUCUGCAAAUAUGAUUUCCUCUUUGUUUGCAUUAUUGAUGCCAUAAAAUGUCAGACACAUUAAAGAAAAAAAAAAAAGAGGCCAACCUUUGGGGUUUGGAGUGAUUCUGGCUGAAUUGCAGUUGGGUUACUUUUCCUUUUAUUUCCCAUGGUAGUGAUGCACUCUUACUCAUUCUGCUAUUGCUUUACAAACAGUUCUCUGUAAGUGUAUUUAUUCAGCCAAUCAUACUUCAGGAAAUGCAUAACCUUGAUAUUUUUUGCUUUAUGUGGAACUGUGUGUAUGUAUCUGUUGGGGAGGGGGAAUGGUGCAGGGAAGUGGGAGGGUGGAGUUUUUUUUACAAGAGCCCUCCGGUGCUUGGUAGUAAGUUGUUUUUCUGCAAUGCUGUGUGACACCCUUCUGCUCAAGUGGCUGAAUUGAUUUCAUCUCAAGAACUGACUUUUGUGAUCAUGAUUUGAGACCUUCUGGUUUUGCUCCAUCCAGAAUCUUAGUCAUUUGCUUUCACCAUUCAACAGCCAUCUGCCGUCCACAAUGGUGCCUAGAUGUCUACGCCACACAGAUUACACAGUACUUAAGUCUCAGGCAUGUGACAGAGGAGUUUUAGCUCCUUCAAGUCCUUGACCAAUGGCAAGUUUACUGAUUUAGUUCGGUUCCUAAAGUCUUGCUCACUUAAGGCUCCCUAACUACUGUUUCCAAGGCAAAUACUAUUAUCUGCUAAGUGCUUUUUCUCCCAGACUAUUAAAGAGCACAGGCUUUAGUAGCCAUGUACCUUCUAUGUUAACUGUCUAUAACAAAUGCUAAUCUAUUGUUCAAUAUUCCUGUGAACUUUUUGGAAGAAUAUUCUCUCUUAAAGUGAGUUUUUUUCCCCCCAGUUUUUACACUAGUUUUUUGUUCUUUACCUUUUCAAAAAUAUUUUGACAGACUAGAGGAAAAACUUGCCUGUCAGUCUGUCCUGUUAACUUGUUUCUGCUUUGAUGCACUCACCAGGGAGCUCAAACAUGUGGUUUGUGUGGUUUCCCACCAGCUUACCUAGCAUGAGAAUUAAAGCAUCUCUGUCUUGGAAGUACAAGUGGAAUGGGGUGGAAUUCUCUCCCCUAUGCAGGGAUUUUCAUUAUUGGUAAGAUUUCUCUUGAGCUUUUCCUUACAGUGAUGACAAGAUUUGGGAGCAGGUUGAAAGGAAUGCAAGGAAGGAAUUUAAGGAAGGGACUCAACUAGGAGCUGGACUUCAAGGUCAUCUGUUCACCUACUAAGCCUCUCCUUGUUAAUAGAGCAAGAAUUCCCCAGCUUUUCAUUAGCAUCUUCCUGUCCAGCUUUCACGUUCAUAUUCCCGUUUUGAUGGCCUUCAGAUGAUCUCCAAAUCUUCUUAUCUUCACAGAUCUAUCUCUGGGGUAUUCAAACAGCCCAAAAAAGAAACAGUAAGGUCUGAAUGGGCGUUUAAUUCAGUGUCCUUCUGCUUCUUUUUCAAAGGGGCAAAGACCAUGAAAGUACCAAAAUGGGAGAAGUAGAAGUAGUGCAGCUUCUUUUUCAACUGAAAUAUUUAAGAUGCCAUGCAGCAGUACCUAUAAAUAUGCCUUGAAAUGUUGAAUGAGUACAAGGAGUCUAUUUGAUUUUGUUUUUAUGCCUGUAAUUUCUCUCACCAAGAAUUCAGCUGUUACUCAGCCCCCAGCAGGUUGUUCUGAUUGCUGGAGAGAUGGUGGGGAUUGAUUCUGGCUGGGAUCUGUUUGAGGCUAGCCUCAUUCUCAUGUACCUAGAUUGAGACAAUAGAAAUAAUCAGCAACGGACUGAAUUGUUGUUCCUGUCUAACUAAGCCUUCCUGUGCAAUGGCAAGCUAAACUCUGAAGGGUUUGAACACCUGUAACUUUGUCUGGAGUCAAUGAAAGCUGUGGAUACUGAAGAUCACUGAGAUUUUACAAAGAGAACAGCAGGACACAGAAGAAAAAAUCUAGAAGAAAAAAAAAAACAACCUACAAUAUUGUAUAUGAAACGAGAUUGGUUGGUUUAUACUAUGAAAAAAUCCACUGUUGUAAAAGAAUCAGAAUCCUGGCAGCAAAGAAAAUUGACCGUCAAGACAGGAGCAGACCUCUAUCCUACUAACUUCCCCUUGCCUUUAAUUUCCUUUGUCUCUUUCUGCUAAUGUAGGACAAAUCUUGUCCUACAGCUUUCAUGAAAUCUGAAAUUAAUGUAAAAGUCGGGUCUGGGAGAGGAAGAGGGAGAUCAAACCCUGCUGGAUGAUGUAACGGCUUUGUAGCCUAGCAUCUUUUCAGUAACAAGUAUCUGUUGCGCUUUUUUUUUUUAAACCCACGUUUGAGGUUGAAGUAUUGUCCCCAACAACGACAAACUACUUCAAUCCUCGACAACAACAUGAACAACCGUUAGUAAGGGGGAAGAUUUCCACGGACAGACCAAGUGCCGGAGCCGCGUCCCUGCGGAUCAGCACCGCGGACAGCGGCCGCGCCCGCCCUCACUGCCCUGCCUCGAAGGGAGCUGGUGGCCUCAUGCCUUUCUUUUCUUCUUCCAAUCCCCCCUCCCCCCCCCAUUUUUUUUUUUUAAUUUCUAGCGCGAAAUCGCUGGCCGAUAUCUGUUUUCAAGUGAUGGAGGUGGGAUGGCUUAAGACUUAAAACAAUUAAUCCAAGAGAACAAUAAUUCCCGCGGAGUUAAGCCCUCUAACCUGUUUUCUUCCCACAUUAUUUUUCCACCUAUGGAGUAGAAGUCUCUUACUUGGAGUGUGAAACAUCCUUAUCUUCUAGUCUACUGGAGAGCCUGGCAUACGGAGAAUGACUAUUCUGUUAGAAGUUCAGAAACUGAGUAUUUAUUUUAGUGGCAGGAUCAUGUGAUUUUCUUUGCCUAUCAGCUAAAUUUACUGUUUGUAAAGCACCAGGAGACAAAUUUAUUGGAAAAUUCAAAGCAAGGGGCAUAAAAACAAUACUGUGGACCCUGGAAAUCAUUUUGAGAUCAAGCUAUAAAAAAGUCGCAUUACUACGUAAUGGAGAACUGUCAGAAAAGAGUCAGCAGAAGAUGAAAAGCCAUGUACAAAAGAAAGAGCAAGCAUCAACAGACAAAGCUCUGGAUGGAAAAGUAGUCAUAUCUCACAUACAGGAAAAAAAAAAAGAGGCUCUUCAGUAUUCAGAUUUCUCAGCUGUCACUCUUGGGAUUUCAUCUCAUUUGUUUUUUCCUGAUCAUACUGUAGAGGAUAUGACUUAAAAUUAGGGCCGAACAUCUUCUGAACCUCACCAUCCUCAUGAGAAUCUAUUGUAAAGGGGCAUGAAGGUCCAUCCUAUCCUUGAAAAACACAGAAAGGACAGAAAGGUGGGGUAUUCCUCCCUCCCUAACACGUACAUCUUUCUAUAACCAGUUUCCUCUGUACCCUUUCCUCUCCAUACUCCCCUGCAGUGAUUGGCAGUUGUGACUACAGGACACCCAGACUGAGACUCAGUGACAAUGAGGACUGGGAAGUGCCUGAGACACAGGGCCUCAGAACUUGUGAGUAGCAAUACUGUAAACAAGGAACUGUGGUCAUAUUUCUGAUGCUUAUGGCUACCUAGAAAGCAGAGAGAGUGAACUUACAGGGGACUGCAAAGAUGAUUUAAUGAGGAGCUCAGAGAGCUAAUGGUGGUGAAGGAAGGGAGCAAGGAAGCCUGUUGGAAUGUAUGGAGAGGAAGGAAAUGGUCCAGGAUUUGAUUCUCAGUAAGGGGUCAGAGAUCACCAGGGCAGUAAAAGUUGGAUGUGAGCUGAGGUGAGGCAGAAGAGAGUCCUGAUCAGGGAUGGAUGUGAGGAAGCAGUCACUACAAAGUGAUGCAUAUUCACCUGAACUGGUCCUGAAGACUUGGAGAAAGCUUGCCAGGCUUCUCUCAGGUCCAUCUUCUCUGCAAGAACUAUCAUUUUCACUGCAUUUAUUCUUCUGACAGCUCUGCUUUCAGCAUAAACAGGCUGUCUUGUCUUAGCCCCCUCCUCACUCCCCCUGCUCAGCCCCCACACUAUGCCAAUUCCCUGGGUGAAAGCAAAAUGCCUUUUCUAUUUUUUUCUUUAAACAAAAGUGUCCUUUUAAAUUUUCAGCUAAACUGGGAGGCAAUUUCUUGCAUGAGAGCUUUGUAUAGAUAGGCUUAUAGCUGAACAAAAAUAAAUAAAUACACUAAAUAA